rnacentral:rRNA from 1 species
GAUGAACGCUGACAGAAUGCUUAACACAUGCAAGUCAACUUGAAUUUGGGUUUUUUAACUUAGAUUUGGGUGGCGGACGGGUGAGUAACGCGUAAAGAACUUGCCUCACAGCUAGGGACAACAUUUGGAAACGAAUGCUAAUACCUGAUAUUAUGAUUAUAAGGCAUCUUAGAAUUAUGAAAGCUAUAUGCGCUGUGAGAGAGCUUUGCGUCCCAUUAGCUAGUUGGAGAGGUAACGGCUCACCAAGGCGAUGAUGGGUAGCCGGCCUGAGAGGGUGAACGGCCACAAGGGGACUGAGACACGGCCCUUACGCCUACGGGAGGCAGCAGUGGGGAAUAUUGGACAAUGGACCAAGAGUCUGAUCCAGCAAUUCUGUGUGCACGAUGACGUUUUUCGGAAUGUAAAGUGCUUUCAGUUGGGAAGAAAAAAAUGACGGUACCAACAGAAGAAGUGACGGCUAAAUACGUG